GCGGACGGGUGAGUAAUGCUUAGGAAUCUGCCUAUUAGUGGGGGACAACAUUCCGAAAGGAAUGCUAAUACCGCAUACGCCCUACGGGGGAAAGCAGGGGAUCUUCGGACCUUGCGCUAAUAGAUGAGCCUAAGUCAGAUUAGCUAGUUGGUGGGGUAAAGGCCUACCAAGGCGACGAUCUGUAGCGGGUCUGAGAGGAUGAUCCGCCACACUGGGACUGAGACACGGCCCAGACUCCUACGGGAGGCAGCAGUGGGGAAUAUUGGACAAUGGGCGAAAGCCUGAUCCAGCCAUGCCGCGUGUGUGAAGAAGGCCUUUUGGUUGUAAAGCACUUUAAGCGAGGAGGAGGCUACUGAGAUUAAUACUCUAGGAUAGUGGACGUUACUCGCAGAAUAAGCACCGGCUAACUCUGUGCCAGCAGCCGCGGUAAUACAGAGGGUGCGAGCGUUAAUCGGAUUUACUGGGCGUAAAGCGUGCGUAGGCGGCUUUUUAAGUCGGAUGUGAAAUCCCUGAGCUUAACUUAGGAAUUGCAUUCGAUACUGGGAAGCUAGAGUAUGGGAGAGGAUGGUAGAAUUCCAGGUGUAGCGGUGAAAUGCGUAGAGAUCUGGAGGAAUACCGAUGGCGAAGGCAGCCAUCUGGCCUAAUACUGACGCUGAGGUACGAAAGCAUGGGGAGCAAACAGGAUUAGAUACCUGGUAGUCCAUGCCGUAAACGAUGUCUACUAGCCGUUGGGGCCUUUGAGGCUUUAGUGGCGCAG
rnacentral:rRNA from 1 species